CUAAACUCUCUUCUUAACCAUUUGUCAGCAGCUGGGUGGGUGGAAGAAGAAGUUAAACGUUGCUGGUGGAAAUGAGGAAGAUGCUGGAAGAGUCCUCACAGUCUUGUUACCAUUCUGUGCUCAUGGUCUGUCAGUGAAGCUGAGAGCAAGCUCUCUCCCUGCCAGAGGAUCCUGCAGUGGAGGCCAAGACAUCAGCACCACGGUCAGCACCCACUGGUCUGGUCUUUGGAAGACAGAGGAAAGCCAAGGCUUGAGUUUAACUAUCUCCUUUGGAAACUCUUAGCAGCCAGCCCCUGGCACAUUCACCCAAGAGAGCAGGACCAUGAAAGAGGCAGAGUCAGGAGCCUGCUUUUCAAUGUUACUUUUCAUAUCUUGGUCCCCUGUCCCAAACACCAGGGUUUAAGACAUGCUCAGGAGCACUCUAUCACUCCAUCACUCCAUCCAUCUAACAAGCGUUCAGAGGAAAGGAAUGCCAGAACCCACCCAGAGUGACCUUAGUGUCACAAUGUUUUGCCUGAGGCUUUCUCUGGUUCUCCCUUUCUUAUUCCAGCCUUAUCCUUCUCCCCGUCUUGGGCUUCCUGUCACUCAGAGGAAGGCAUGCUGGAAAUGCACUAAAUGCUGCCAGUCUAAAGGGAAAGGACCCCAAAGGAAUCUUUGGGAUGAACUGUUCUGGGAUGGCCAAUCAUAAGGGCUUCAGUAGGGAACAUAUGAAGUUACACCUUUUCACGACCCCAAACUGCAGUUCUAAUUUGUAGACCACCCUGCGAAGCUGGAUGGAGGGUAGACCUUGAGCCCUUGGGAGCUUCAAGAAUGAGAUAUCCUAGAGACUGAGGAAGGGGACUCAUCUCUUUUAGCUUCCUUCAGCUUCUUCAUACCCUGUGCUCCCCAGCAUGCAAAGUGAACUCAUUAAAUAUUGUCUAACCAGC